ACAAACACAAACAAAAACACAUAUGAGUCAGUAGCAUAUAAUUAUCGCAUGAAUACUUAAAAGUCACACUAAAAAAAUAUUUAUGUCUAAAUUUAAGAUUGAUGUAUUUCAAUUGCUUUUAAAAUUUCCAUGUAUUUGGAUUACACAGUUUAACAAUCUAAUAUUAGUUUGUUAAAACUGUCUAAUAUCUUACUGUGUUAUUUAUGUAUGACUGACAGAUAUGGCUCACAUUAAGUUUAUUUGUUCGUUAAAACUGGUUCAACUAAUCCAAAUGGAUGGAAAUUUUAUAUGCAAUUUAAAUGGAUAUAUCUUAAAUAUUUUUUGAGUGCAUACAGGUUUGGAAAUGAUGACAGAAAUUUAAUUUUUUGGGUGAGUUGUCCCUUUAGAUCAGCACUUUUUUUUUUUUUUUUUUUUUUUAAGCAGUGGUUGGCGGUAAACUGUCUCCAGUCAGGCUAGUGUUCUCUCUCUCAGCUGUCUGUCUCCAGCCAGUUAAAUAUAAACAGCCGUUAACUGGCCCUUUCCUCUAGAUUAUGUAUAUCCCCCCUACCCCCUUCUGUUUGAGUCCGAGAUCCGUUCUCAGGCCUUCCUAUUUCCUUUUCAAAACCACAGUAAAACUCACACUUACUUCAAGUCGAUGGUGACGCUAAAGUUACAAUAACAAUACAGUGAUCAGAUCAGAGCCUGUGCAUUAGCGCUGCUACUGUCAGCACACGUGACUGAUCCACUUGAGGUUUGUACUAUUAAAACCACUAAACGCAACUGCUGUGAAAGUGUUAUAAAGGUAAAGUCUGCGGUUGGUGCUUAUGCUCAUCCCCACAGAGAUUAGUUGUAAAGUCUGCAGUAAUGAAGUGUUUGUUGAAGAGCUGGGUGUGUGCAGUAGAGUAGGAAGCCUCUGGAUAAAUAGUCAGGCCAGUAGCAUGGCUAAACUUAGGAUAGCUGCUGAAACUUCUCACAAGGUCCUGCCGGAACAGACCAGACCAGACCACACACACACACACACACACACACACACACACACAACACACACACACUGAGUCAAAUGGUGAUUUGGUCACAGAUAAAAGGGUUAAAGACAAAAUAAAUAAAAUAAAUAAAUAAAAAUAAUAAAGACAAAAAAAUAAAUAAAUAAAAAUAAACAUAUGAAACCUCUUAACAUAAAAAAAAAAAAAAAAAAAAAAAAAAAAAAAAAAAAGACAAAUAAAGAGGAAGACCCACUCCCCCCAACAUAUAAAUUAAUUAAAUGAGACAGUGAAUCAUGAGCUUCCCAAUGGGAAUUCCGGAAUGUUCAUUAUUUCCGGCCAAGCGGUACAUUUCAAGGAAGGAAGGAGGGGGAAAAAAAGAAAGAAUGCAAAAAAGGCAAGAAAAGAAUGUCAAACAAAGCAGGAAAGAAAGUAGCAAAGAAAGGAAGUUUAAAAGAAAAAAAAAGGCAAUGGAAGGAAUAAAGAAAGUACUGAAAAAUAAAGCAGGAAAGAAAGAAAGAAAGAAAGAAAGAAAGAAAGAAAGAAAGAGGCCAACAAAAACAAAAGGAAAGGAAGAAUCAUAAAAGAAAGAAACUGGGAAAGACAGGAAGAAAGUUGGAAAGAUGAAAGGAAGGAAUUAAGAAAUUGGGGAAAAAGUGGAAAAGGAAGAAAAUGGGACAAAAAGAAAGCCAGCGGGAAAGAAUGGAAGGAAGCGAAAAGAAAAAAAAGAACAAAAGGAAAAUCAAAGUGGCAAACAAAGCAGUAAAGAAAGAGGCAAACAAAGCGUGAAAGGAAGAAUCAUAAAACAAAGAAACUGGGGACGGCAGGAAAAAAGUUGAAAAGAAAAAAGGAAGGAAUUAAGAAAGUGGGGAAAAACAAAGCAGAAAAGGAAGAAAAUUUGACAAAAAGGAAGGAAGAAUGGAAGGAAGCAAUUCAAGCAAAAUGAAAGAAAGGAAGUUUAUAUGAAAUGAAAG